rnacentral:pre_miRNA from 1 species
UUGUUACUCCCUCCAUAUAACAAAGAUGUCUCAAGUUUAUCAAAAUUUGGAUGUAUCUAGAUGUGACUUAGUGUAUAGAUGCAUUCAAAUUUAGUCGAGACAUCCUUUGUUUGACGGAGGGAGUAUCUU